rnacentral:rRNA from 1 species
GUGCCCGCCGCAGCGGUAAUACGAAGGGGGCUAGCGUUGUUCGGAAUUACUGGGCGUAAAGCGCACGUAGGCGGAUUGUUAAGUGAGGGGUGAAAUCCCAGGGCUCAACCCUGGAACUGCCUCUCAUACUGGCAAUCUAGAGUUCGAGAGAGGUGAGUGGAAUUCCGAGUGUAGAGGUGAAAUUCGUAGAUAUUCGGAGGAACACCAGUGGCGAAGGCGGCUCACUGGCUCGAUACUGACGCUGAGGUGCGAAAGCGUGGGAGCAAACAGGAUUAGAUACCCUGGUAGUCCACGCCGUAACGAUGGAAGCUAGCCGUUGGCAAGUUUACUUGUCGGUGGCG